AGCAGUGAGGAAUAUUGGACAAUGGGUGAGAGCCUGAUCCAGCCAUCCCGCGUGAAGGACGACGGCCCUAUGGGUUGUAAACUUCUUUUGUAUAGGGAUAAACCUACCCUCGUGAGGGUAGCUGAAGGUACUAUACGAAUAAGCACCGGCUAACUCCGUGCCAGCAGCCGCGGUAAUACGGAGGGUGCAAGCGUUAUCCGGAUUUAUUGGGUUUAAAGGGUCCGUAGGCGGAUCUGUAAGUCAGUGGUGAAAUCUCACAGCUUAACUGUGAAACUGCCAUUGAUACUGCAGGUCUUGAGUGUUGUUGAAGUAGCUGGAAUAAGUAGUGUAGCGGUGAAAUGCAUAGAUAUUACUUAGAACACCAAUUGCGAAGGCAGGUUACUAAGCAACAACUGACGCUGAUGGACGAAAGCGUGGGGAGCGAAC
rnacentral:rRNA from 1 species